CCUACGGGAGGCAGCAGUGGGGAAUAUUGCGCAAUGGGCGAAAGCCUGACGCAGCGACGCAGCGUGAGGGAUGACGGUCUUCGGAUCGGAAACCUCUGUCAGCUGGGAAGAACGGUCACUGUGCUAAUCAGCAGUGAAUUGACGGUACCUGCAAAGGAAGCACCGGCUAACUCCGUGCCAGCAGCCGCGGUAAUACGGAGGGUGCGAGCGUUAAUCGGAAUUACUGGGCGUAAAGCGCUCGUAGGCGGUAUGUCAAGUCAAGGGUGAAAUCCCCGCGCUCAACGUGGGAACUGCAUUUGAAACUGGCAAACUGGAGUGUGUGAGAGGAUAGUGGAAUUCAAGGUGUAGGAGUGAAAUCCGUAGAUAUCUGGAGGAACAUCAGUGGCGAAGGCGACUAUCUGGCACAUAACUGACGCUGAGGAGCGAAAGCGUGGGUAGCAAACAGGAUUAGAUACCCCGGUAGUC
rnacentral:rRNA from 1 species